GAGGGGAUAGCUCAGUGGUAGAACGCAUGCUUAGCAUGGACAAGGUCCUGGGUUCAAUCCCCAGUCCCUCCA
rnacentral:tRNA from 1 species